UUGCCACAAAGACGGCUGGAAAAGAGA
rnacentral:piRNA from 1 species